CCUAGUUCCACUUGACCAGGGAAAUGACGCCAAAUGUCGCGCGUUCACAAGUGUUCACCCGUGUCGACACGACGAAGAAUGUAUUAUUGUUGAAGGUGUCCUUCGUUGCGUAAAAAAGACGACUGAUUCUGAGGGAAUUAAAUUGUCCGUAUUAGUCGCUUCUGUUGUUGGGUCACUUCUAUUCCUGGUUAUUGUGAUUCUUGUUGGCGUAAUUUGCAAGAAAAAUUCGCGGUCUUCAAAGG